CCUACGGGAGGCUGCAGUGGGGAAUAUUGGGCAAUGGGCGCAAGCCUGACCCAGCAACGCCGCGUGAAGGAAGAAGGCUUUCGGGUUGUAAACUUCUUUUGUCAGGGAAGAGUAGAAGACGGUACCUGACGAAUAAGCCACGGCCAACUACGUGCCAGCAGCCGCGGUAAUACGUAGGUGGCAAGCGGUGUCCGGAUUUACGGGGUGUAAAGGGCGUGUAGCCGGGUUGACAAGUCAGAUGUGAAAUCCUGCGGCUUAACCGCAGAACUGCAUUUGAAACUGUUGAUCUUGAGUACUGGAGAGGCACACGGAAUUCCUAGUGUAGCGGUGAAAUGCGUAGAUAUUAGGAGGAACACCAGUGGCGAAGGCGGUCUGCUGGACAGCAACUGACGGUGAGGCGCGAAAGCGUGGGGAGCAAACAGGAUUAGAUACCCUUGUAGUC
rnacentral:rRNA from 1 species